AUGGCAGUUCGAUCACAUAUAUAUAUAUAUAUAACCGUGACGAAGAGCACUGCAGCAGCAAAACAUGCUGGAUCGCGUGGUGGUGAAUUCGUGCGUACGUGUCUCGAUACUCCCCUGGACGACGGGCGGCCACCCAGACCGCCACCCUGCGGAACAGCAGCAAGGAAGGCCCUGCGGGGGCGACCGCGAGGCGAGCAAUCUCAUCUCAUUAUUCUCAUGUGUUCUCAGUUCGCCCCCGCCGGAACUGCCUUGCAUCGCGCUUGUUGCCGUCGCCGAUCAUCUUCCAGGCAUGGGCUAGCCGGCUAG
rnacentral:lncRNA from 1 species